rnacentral:misc_RNA from 1 species
UGAAUCUACACAUCUAGAUGUAAAUAGUUACCUUAAGCCUAUAUUUAUAUGAACUCGAUCGCACUUUAUAUACAAUAAAAAAUAAAUAAAUUUGUGUUUUUAAUUUGUAUAAAAACUUUCCACUAACGUAAUGUAUUAAUGUUUGAGGUAAUAUUACAGAUACUAAACUACUGGUGGCAGUGAUGGUUCGUUCUUAUUUUGCCAUCAUUUUGUAGCUCUGAAAAAGACAAUGCAAGCUUCAAAGCAAAAGGCCCUGGCUUUACAUAAUCAAUAUUGCUCCAAGUUAAGCAUAACUUCCAAUUCUUAGACUCUCUGUAAUUCACAUUCAUACCUUGGCUUAAGCACCAAUUUCCAGGCACCACUCCAUCAGGCAGGCGGUUUAAGAUCAUCUUAUCAAUCCUGUUAAGCUCUGAAUCCCCUUCCUUAAAUGGUCUUGCAAAUGCUGCUGCUGCUCCACCAUCUAGUAUCUUGUUAAAGUUUGGAUCUUCCAAAAUAUUGUACCUUAAUUCAGUGUUUACUGUUGUGUUCUGAAACUCUGGAGAGUUGCAAAUGACUGUGUGGAAGUAGAAUUCUAUUGGGUAUGCUACAUUGCUGAAAUACAUUAUCAGUUUUCUUGGGAGGUUGUCCCAUCCUUUGACACAAUACUCCAUCAAAUCUCUUGUAAGAAUCAGCCAGGGUGAACCUCCAAAGAUCUUGAAAGCAUCUGGAGUUCGUGUCUCUACAGUAUAGAAAAGGUCACUACUCUUUUGAAGAUACAAGCUGGGAUCUAUAACAAUUUGUUCUAUCCUUCGUUUCCUUGAACUUCCUCAUAACAUCUGAAUAAAAUAGGGGGUUCAAGCUUACUCUUUCCAUUCACUUUCAUUUGAAAAAUGUAUGAAGUUGAGCUCCCUUGGUAAGGAAGUGAAGACAUGGAGAAGAUCAUCUUGACUCAUUAUGGGAUAAUCAGCAGGGCUUAAAUUGAUGAACCAAUCCCAAUCUUGAUUUAGCUUGAGAAGCAGUGCAGCAGCAUGAAGUGUGGCAGCAAGAGCUGAGGAUCCAAUCCUGUUAACACCAUAACUUUUUCCAACAACAUUAACAUUUCCAAAACUUCUAAACAAAUUCUGGGAUUGAAUCGAAACUACUAAAUCUACCCUUUCAUAAUCAGAUGAAUCAGCAUCAAGUUGCAGCAGAUACUGGUUUCUUGGAUGAUAAAUAGCUUUCAACAAUCGUAGCAUUCUCUUGCUAUCUCCACUAGUCCCGCAAAUCCAGUAAGCAAGAAUCGGAGGGUAGCCAUACCCUUUUGAAGGCAAGCUCAAUGGGAGGUGAAAAUCUUCCCUUAUUGGAGCAGAAAACAACUCAUCUUGAAACCAUGAUCGCCUCACAGCCAUCAAUAACACAACACUCAGGAUUGCCAAAGCAAGAAUCCAUAGACGAUAAUCUGAAGUCCCCAAUGAAAUCUUUGAAGUUCUCAUCAUUUCAUCGGCUGCUCAUUAUACCUGCAGAACUAAAUUAGUAGAGAUUUGAAACUAUAUACAUAGUUGGAAAUCAAUUGAUGAACACUGUAUAAGAAAGAGGUGAAGACUCAAGAGAUGGUGUAUGUUAUAAAUUGAAUAUAUUCUGAAAUGUAAACAGAUUAAACAUAGCUUUCAAUGAUGAACACGUUAUUUUUCAAUGAUCAACACACUAAGUCUAGUGUAAUCAUAAGGAAAACAUUACAUUUCUAUCAAUCUAUU